rnacentral:snoRNA from 1 species
UGGCGGUGAUGAGAACCUUGCAGUAGCUGAAUGUGGGUGAUUGUUGCAUACGCUAUUCUGAGCCGACU